rnacentral:lncRNA from 1 species
UGAGGUCACCCUCUCAGCAGUCUGGAGACCCUCCAGUUGGCAGGGCAAUGGGUACACGAGCAGCACAUCUGUUAUUUUGUAGCGUGGUGCUGGACUGGGCAAGGUAGGACAAACAGGGUGAGAUACAUAGGAAUUUCGUUCCACACACAAUGACAUAAGUUAUUGACUAAGUGACAUCCAGGGGUGAAUGGAGGACGAGGGUUGGGGGAUUGGAGCCUCGCACAAGGACACCAAGAUAAUGAAAUUAUGUAUUUUACUGCACACGGAUACAGUCUCUGUCUCUCUCUUUCUCUCACUCUCACUGUCUGCCAACAAUUUAUUUUAAGGGUUCGUAAUAAACUAUUGAUAAUGCAUUAUACAUUGUGUGUAUACCAUUUGUUAAUCAUUACUCUCAUAUUUAUCAACCAUUUACUAAUCAUUUAAUAAUCAAGUCUUUUUGUAGUCCCUAAUCUAAAGUGAGUGCUAUUUAAUACUUAAAAAUACUUUCUAAAUGUUUUCAGGGAUGGUGUUAUUUCCCACAAAAGAUGGGCAUGCCAUUGGUAGACAUUCCUGCAGUACCUGGUAAAAGAAUAAGCACACAACACAGGAUAUUUUAGGAAAUCCAGGUUGCAUUUGUAUUUUUGUUCAGUAUAUAUGUGACGUGCCAGGGAACGUUACCACCACACCACGGCUCUGCACACCACCAUUGUUAUGAACAGAGUGGCUGCGGAUCCAACUUUUUUGGACCAUUCUUCCUGACAGGUCCCAAAGCUUCUGUGCAUGUGCCGUAUUCUCAACUUUAUGCACAGUCUCUGCUCUGCGCUACAGGUGGCUAUAUCAGUCCGCUAAUACAGGACUAGUAAAGACCCAGUGCACUACUUUUGUGAAGAUCCCCCCCCUCAGCACCCCUACUUCCCUCUGCUAUGUUUAAGUGCAUUUCCCAUGAAACUGAUUUGAGAUCAAUGGUUGGUAUGCAGAUGCUGCAUGGACGUUUACCUGUAAAACAUGAAGAAUUAUCAUUCAAGAUUGACAGUGAGAAACGUAAAGGGAGGGUGACCACAAAAACGUGGUUCAGAUCUUCAGCUCCGGGGUAAAGAAAUCCAGGGGGGCAGGAAGGGGCGGUUACCUACAGAUCCGCAGCCUCGGCCUAUAGCCUAAAUUACAGGACAUGAGAGGAGUAGAAUUAGCUAUGUUCUCAUUACAGGACUGGUUCAAAAAAAUGGCAGGCUUUUUUCUACGCCAAAUCAGUCUUGUGAUGUUGAAUUGAUUUUGGAAAUACUGAAUUAUCACCUGGUCCUCGUGUGAAUAGAAAGGGGUACACUCUGUGUGGCAGGCAAGCCCAGAAGCCAUGCAGUGUUUUGGUUGUGUAAUGUGCAUCGUGGAUCAUGUGGAUGGUGUGUGGAGGUAUACAUCCUCGAGGCGGCAUGACUACCAAGGUGAACAGAACCGUUCCACAGUGACAUUUGCUUGCACACCGUGUGUGUGAGCUCACCAGUCACGGUCCAGGCUCUCUUAUUAUCACUGUGAUCGAUGUGUGUGCAAUGGUUAUCUGGGACAUUGCAUCACUUGGGCUCGGUGGGUGCAGAGUCAAUGGAUACUACUGUAGCUUCCACUCCUCCCCAUCGAUCCUUACUCUUGUGAUGGAAUGACUGUGUUGUUGCUCUCCGCACAGGAUAGAGGAGACUGGGGACAACUGUAACACAACUGACCCAUGUUACAUUUGGCCCUGCUCUCCACUACAAAUUCUUAGCAGUAUCCCCUUGAAUAUUCAAUGUCCAUUAUUAAUUAACCUUCAUUUGCAUUCUGUGUUGUUUUUCUCUCUAGUGGUGCAAUGUCAAUGUGUGUAUUGGCACAGCCUAGUCAAGGUGCCUCCCAUCCCUCUGCAGUCAUUAAACCUGAAAGACACUGUAAACAACAAGGCUUUGGAAAGAGCCUUAGGAUGUGUUCCAAUAUCCACACUAGAAUGCAUGCCAGUACAUUGCUUCAUUGUAAGUGGUAUGCUAGUAUUGGAACAGAGCCUUAAUGUAAGCAAAUGGUUUUACUAUCCAGUUUUCUGCCCACUACAUUAUGUUUACAGUAGUAUAUCCCAGCAGAGGUCCUCCUAACUCCACUGCUUUUCUGUGCUCCUCUCCCAGAGGCUCCUCUCCCAGAAGCUCCUCUCUAACCGCCUGGGCCCAUAUUCAGACAUCUUCCAAGAGUGCUGAUCUAAGAUCAGGUCCUCAAUGUCUAUAUACACUGAGUGUACAAAAAUAUUGAGUUGCCCUCAGAACAGACUCAAUUUGUCGGGGCAUGUACCCUGCAAGGUGUCAAAAGCGUUCCACAGGGAUGUUGGCCGAUGUUGACUCCAAUGCUUCCCACAGUUGUCAAGUUGGCUAUUUGGAUGGUGUUCCAUUCUCGAUACACACGGGAAAGUGUUGCGCAUGAAAAACCCAGCAGCGUUGCAGUUCUUGACACACUCAAACUGAUGCGCCUGGCACUUACUACCAUACCCUGUUCAAAGGCACGUAAAUCUUUUGUCUUGCCCAUUCACCCUCUGAAUGGCACAUAUACACAAUCCGUCUUAAUUGUCUUAAAAAUACUUAUUUAACCUGUCUCCUCCCCUUCAUCUACACUGAUUGAAGAGGAUUUAACAAGUGACAUAAUUAAGGGAUCAUAGCUUUUACUUAGAUUCACCUGGUCAGUUUAUGUCAUGGACAGAGCAGGUGUUCCUGAUGUUUGUACACUCAGUGUAAUUCUUAUUCAGUAUGAUUUAAAAGGCCAAACUGAUCCUGUAUCAGCAGCUCUGGAUCACCAUGCCAAUUCUAAUAAAUACUGGUCGGAGAGCAGCAGCCCCACAUUCCACACCCCCACCCCACACACACACACACACACACACACACACACACACACACACACACACACACACACACACAGACACCGCAGCCCUACAUUCCAGAACAACAAGAACUUCCCUUAAUCUGCCUCGGAGUCAGAGAUGGAGCAACAGUUGGUGGGCGGGAUGCGUGAGAGGGCUGUUGGGAGACUACCAGAGGAGAGGAGAGCUCCCCGCUGGCAGCAGUGUGAUGUGUAUGUAAAACGCUGGGAAUGUUGAAAUUGGAUUGAUUCUCUACUCGUAGCUCUCCAGGCAGCUCUAUAAUGAACCACUGACUGAGAAGCAGAUUUUGGCAGUUGUGAUGGUUUUUCCCAAAGAUGCAGGGAAACAGAUCCUAUUACGUUGUUUUUCCCAUAAUGUCGUGUGUGUGUGUGUGUGUGUGUGUGUGUGUAUAUUUGGUUUGUGGAAGGGCGCCUGUUGAACUUGGAAAUGCUUUGCAGAUGUGCAGAAUGUCUAUAGUUGAGCCCUGUUGCCAUUUUUCUGCCAAUUGACUGUUGUUGGCAGAGAGAUGGACAUAAUUCACCUUGUAAGAGGGUUUGAUGGGUUGGUUUCCCACCCUGUACAGAUCUGUGUUAUUUGCAGGGCAGGUUUUGUGAAUGCAUUGCUGUUAUCAUACACAGUAUGCCUCUUAUGUUAUUGACUGAUAGAUUGAUAGAGCCAUGUUAAUAGUAAUGGCUCCAGUGGGGAUUUGCGCUGACGUGGCCCACACACAGGUAGCAGACUGAAGUGGUCUGGACAGGAAUGUUGGAAGUGGCCUAUGGCCGUGCUUUUCUCUCUUGCUGCUGGUCGCUAGCCUCAAUUGAUUGCUUUAAUUUGGCCUGUAAUGUGCCAUGACAAUAUAUUGCUGACUAUGUACCUGUCCAGGUUAUCCACUUCUGAUAGUGAUGUUUUGAGCUGAUAAAGCUGAUAAAAUGAAGUGAAUUGAUGUAACAUUGUUGAAUUUGUGACUUGAGUAGGGCAUGUUUUACAUGUAUUUUUAUACAUUUAUGAAUCUCAACGCACCCUGAGAACACAGAUGGUCUCUCCUAAGAGAUUGUGGGAUGUGAAUAUGUUUUGGCCUCUGUUAUUAUUAAACCCAUGUACUGUAUCUGUUACGGUACAUUAAAAUCCCCUGCUAACUAUGAUGUAAUCACUCUGUUGGUAUGGAUUUACAGUACAGGGGUGCGUAGGGAGGUAGCCCUUUCCUGCAGCCAAAUUACCUAGUGGCCUCAUGGGUGGAAUGUUAUUAAUACACCGAAAAUCUGGUCUUUGUUUUAAAACAGUUUUGUUAUUUCAGUCUUCUGUGAUGUAUAUAAAGUGUAAUAUUGGGAUGCAAACUCAAAAUGUAACACAUUUCAACUUUAUGACAUGGUACAGGUGUCUUCUUUUUUUAAGCGCGUCACCAUGUGUGUGAGGUGUAUACUUUUGUUUCAAACUAGAUUUGUUUAAGACUACCAAGAAACACUGUGUGACCCUGAUUUAGCCCACUGCAGUAAAAUGUUAAUAAUGACGCCUUCUACACCCAUAGAAGACCAAAAGAGGAGACAUUUCAAUUUAAAAAAAUAAUAAGUGACUGAAAAGAGCGUCUUGUCUGCACUCAAGCGGUCGCGCGUAUCGUCAUUCCGCAAACAAAUAAAUCAUGCUUCUUGUGAUUUGUAAUUACCCAAAGAUAUGCCGCAAGAAGGAAAGGUCUUCAAAGUGUCCAGCACACCACAAACUGUGUCAUGCAGUGAGUAUUGAGAGGAACCAACAUUUUGGACAGUGACAUACACUAUAUGUCCAAAAGUAUGUGGACACCCCUACUAAUUACUGAAUUCAGGUGUUUCAGCCACACCCAUUGCUAACAGGUGCAUAAAAUCCAGCUAAGCCUUUAGUUCCAGUGACGGGUCAUCUUAAUGCUACAGGAUACAAAGACAUUUUAGACAAUUGGGUGCUUCCAACUUUGUGGAAACAGUUUGGGAAAGGCACUUUCCUGUUCCAGCAUGACUGUGCCCCACAGACACACUCCAAAAUCUUGUGGAAAGCCUUCCCAGAUGAGUGGCGGCUGUUAUAGCCGCAAAGGGGGGCCAAGUCCAUAUGAAUGCCCAUGGUUUUGGCCUGUGGUUUUGGAAUGGGAUGUCCAACAAGCUCAUAUAGGUGGGAUGGCCAGGUGUCCACAUACGUUUGGCCAUAUAGUGUAUUUAGAAUAUCAUCAAAUUUCAUUUCAAAUCUGAGGUGGACAAGUACAGAUCUAAAAUGUCUGUCACUGUCCAUUUAUCUUUGGUGUUGACUGUAAUAGCAUAUUGAAUUCACAUACCUGAGUUUUAUCUAAUCUUCUACAACUUCCUACAGGCCUACCAGCCAAAACAACAACUGGUGGAGUAGCGCUACCUGCAGCAUCCAGUCUCCAACAAAAGGAAUCUGCAUCCACAAGUCCUGCGCAGUCUCAAGAGAUAAUUACAAUGAUGUCUGCAUUUCAAACAAAGGUACUGCUGAAGCUACACAUUAUAAUUUAGAACCAGUGAGAGCAACUGAGGCUCCUUAAUCCUACAAGGCCAUCGACCACAGCUGAGGACCUCGACAUUCUGCCAUCACCGUUAGACUCUGUGGCUGACCUGAAGCUACUGUGUUAGUGGAUCUCAACAGAGGAGAAUUUUUGCAAACAGUUGGUAUGUUCUCACUGCAAGUACUGUCAGACAUAUCAGUAAUCAAAUGGUCAAUUACUCAACUAGACAUCCUAUCUCAGUAUGUAUGGGUCUAACACAUUGGAGAAGACUAUGAGGAGGAUGAUAGGGCGCAUUGGGACCAACAGACUGUGGUCCCAGUUCAGUAUGAAAGGGAGAAAAAAGUUGGCAUUCGAAGACCUGCCUCUGUUAAGUCAUGGCAAGUAGGUGCACAUUCAUACCAGAUACCCUAGUAGAACCUUUAUUAUUCAUAGCUCAGAAGACAACCAGCAUUUAUUUACCCAGAGUCUAUUGGCCUCGUCCUAGAUCUACAGUAUAAUACCCUAUUGUGCUGCUUUACUACAAAUUAAACUGAAUUAUGUGUUUCAAUCUCAUUCAGAGGCCUGCAGCAGAUGCCACAGAGGCCAAAAUAACUGAGUAUGAGACCAAAAUCGGUGAAUGCAUGAAGCAUGCGCCAUUUAAGAACGGGGGCAACAAAUACAGAUCAAAGACCACAGCACCUGAAAUGAUGGAGAGAGACGGAAGCCCAAGAGAGAGAAGGAGCACAAGCACGGUGUCGACCCUAAUGCUUUUUGACUAAAGAGGACAUUUUGUAUCUCCAGUGAUUUUAUUAAACGGGUCCAGUGGUAAAAAAAAGGGAAAUACUAGGGAAAUAGUAAUGUAAUUAUUUGCUAAUCCAAUUAUAGUUCAUCAAUAGUUAGUAAUUAACAGUUUUAUAUUGUAUGUUGUAUUUCCUUGUUGGUUAAAUAAUUAAAAUGUUAUUUAUAAUAGUCCCCUUUUUAGUCAUGUAAAUAGUUACCAAUCCAAGUAUAGUUAAUCAAGAGUUAGUAAUUAACAGUUUUAUAUUGUAUUUCCUUGUUGGUAAUUUAAAAAAAGAUAUAUAUAGUCUUUAUUAGUUAAAGCCAUCAUCGCAUAUAACACCUAUUACCGUUAACCAACGUUUGUUAAACAUUGGCAAACGUUGAUGGACGUUUCAAACCCAACCAAACCAACGUUGUAAAAUACAACUAUUAUAAACAUCUGCCAAUUAUUUGUUAAAUGUUGGUGGAUGUUCAUUAACAUUUAAAAGGAACUAAUAGCCAACGUUGUAAAUUACACUAAUACCAACGUUAACCAAAACGUUGAUGACACCUACGAAAUAUGUUUACAAAACGUAAUCUGUCCCCUACACUUUAACCAAAACCUAACAUUUAUCUGAAUGCAUUCAGAAUGUUUAGACAACCAAUCCAAUACCUACAUUUUUAUUUUUUAUUUAUAAAACCCAUUUUUGCUACCUGGGUGAUGAAUGACAGUGCCAACAUACUUGUUUUAUUACAUAGGAAAGUAUAAUGUGUUGUGUUUGAUUACUGUCUUGCCGAAUUAAAAGCAUGUCUUGUGAAGGCUUGUAGGCUGCAUUUUGACAGGCUGUUUCGAAGACAGUCACAACCCAAGUCUCAUGUGAGUACCGAAAAGACUCCCAGCUGAGUUGCAUAUGAGUACCCAAGAGAGUCCCAUGGUACUCAUGUCCAAUAGCUGUACCAAAACAGAUUGGGCACCAGGUACCAUGACAACUGCAUCCUUCAGAGACAAUAAGUAGUUUGUAUUCAAUGAGCUACAUGUUUAUGUAUGUUGUGUAUGAUCACAACAACGGAAUCAUUAUUUUCAAAACAGAAACUCUUAUCUAAAGUAACCUCAACCACUGUUUUAAUUAUCUAACAGCUUUUCAUUCAUGUUCAUUUGAAGUUUGGUACACGCUUCCUAAUGAUGGUGUUUCUUUGAUCACACUGGAGCGUGUGUGUUUGUCUACCACCAGCAGAAUAAAUACCAGUUGUUUUUCUCUUUCAUUAUGCAGAUAAUCUCACAUUGAUUAACAAAGCUCAUUACAAUUUCCAAUGCAGCACAAGCUGCUGAUCUGAGUUCUAUAGCGCUAUAGGAUCUAACAACCUGCCAUGUUGAGGAGUAAACUGCUUGUCUGUUUUCUCUUACUCUCUUUUCAGAUAUCUGAGUCAUUCUACAUUAUCCUUGACUGAUAUACCUUUCUGCUGUUUUUCAAGGAGGAAACACAUACCUGCAGGUUCAUGAGCAUGCAUGUAUGGCCCAGUACAUCACUGGGGCCAAGCUUCCUGCCAUCCAGGACCUCUAUACUAGGCGGUGUCAGAGGAAGGGCCAAAAAUGGUCAAAGGCUCCAGUCACCCAAGUCAUAGAUUGUUCUCUCUUCUUCUGCACGGCAAGCGGUACCGGAGCGCCAAGUCUAGGUCCAAAACGGUCAUGCCCUGAUCUGUUUCACCUGUCCUUGUGCCUGUCUCCACCCCCUGCAGGUGUCUCCCAUCUUCCCCACUUAUCCUCUGGGUAUUUAUACCUGUGUUUUCUGCCAAUUUGUCUUGUUUGUUCAAACCUACCAGCGUUUUGUGUCUCAGCACCUGCCUUUUCGAGUUUCUCUUUUCUCGCCCUCCUGGUUUUGACCCUUGCCUGUCCUGACUCCGAGCCCGCCUGCCUGACCACUCUGCCUGUCCGUGACCCUGCCGUCCUGUACCUUUGCUCCACCCCUGGAUUACUGUACUCUCCCUGUCCGUGACCCUGAGCCUGCCUGCCGUCCUGUACCUUUGCUCCACCCCUGGAUUACUGUACUCUCCCUGUCCAUGACCCUGAGCCUGCCUGCCGUCCUGUACCUUUGCUCCACACCUGGCUUAUCGACCCCUGCCUGCCUUGACCUGUCUUUUGCCUGCCCCUGUUGUUACAAUAAACAUUGUUACUUCAAACAGUCUGCACUUUGGUUUUACCUUGAUCCCUGAUAAAAACUCUGCUUAACAUCUUC